rnacentral:lncRNA from 1 species
CUAGCUCUACUCGCCGUGUGGAACGCCAGAGCCGACUGAGCGCGCUGCCCACCGCCGGUGGACACGGGCUCCGCGGCGCUGGACCCCGGUGACAGGUUUGGGGCCUUAGAAUCUUGCAGAAAGCAGAACCACACAGUUGCAUCUCCACUUAUACCCUCCUUUAAGUCCCCCUCCAAAACUGGGGGUGCCUCUGGAAAGCUCUGAGCCUGUUACCUAGCUUGGGAGAAGAUAGGUACAAGAUGGCCAUGUGGCAGGG